AUGGAGGUGGUAGCGGCUUUAGCCAAUGUUGAGGUUCCGGCGACUGGGAGUGUGACUGAGGUUACCGACAGGUCUGAGGCUGAGAGGGCGUCCAAGUGGGCGCGCAAGAAGGAAAGGAUGCUUUGCUGCCGUUGUGGUGAGAAGGGCCACUUCAUUGCUGAAUGCGUGGCAGAGCUGUGUGAGUCCUGUGGUAAGCCGGCACAUGCCUCGGGGGAUUGCCCGUUGUUGCGUGACCAGGCUCCGUCUUUGACUAUGUAUGGAGUUUAUUGUGCUGAGCUAAUGUUCUUUGAGUCCCCGGCAGCGAGAGAGACUCCGGAGGAGACUUUGAGCUUGACCACCGGGGUUGUCAAAGCUACUCAGGGUGAGGUUUCGGAGGCUCAGAUUGUGCAGAGGCUUCAGGAACUGGCACCGGGAGACUUCCAUUGGGAGCUCGUUCCUCUCGAGGCCAAGGUUUUUAAGGUGGAGUUUCCUUCAGUGGACGAUCUGCAGCGACUGUUGAGUUUUGGUUUAUGCAGAGUUCCUGGCACUAGGUGCAUUCUGGAGUUCCAUGAGUGGCAGCAGGUGGAACCUAAAGGAAAGCCGCUUACGCAGGUCUGGUUGCGGUUUUCGGGGGCUCCAUCUAAGCCUUUGCAGGAUGUUCGUGUCGUGGCCAGUAUGGGCAUUAUGGUUGGCAAGACGGAGAAAGUGGAUAUGGCCUUUACUCGUGCACAUGGAGUGGCCCGCAUCUUAGUGAGCAUUUUGGAUAUUGAGUUCGUGCCUGACGUGGUUAACUGGACUUAUAGAGGAGAGGUGUUUCCUCUUGAGAUCGAGUUUGAGGACGCUGCCCUGUUUGCUGAGGCAAUGAUUGGGAAUGAUGUUGACAUGCACGAGGGGGAAGACAGUGCGGGAGCUGAGGAGGCACCGACUGACGAGUCGACUCGUGAGGGGACUAACGGCUCUCGUCCUGUGGCUCAGACCGGGGAUGGAACCGGGGUUGAGCCGGCACCUUCACCAUCGGUGCCUAUGACUUCGUUGCGGUUCGGGUCCUUUGAGCCAGCCUCUGCCCCUCCCAGACUUUGGAGUGACCGGGUAGAUUCUGAUGAUGCGUUUGAGCAGUCACUACCUUUGUUGGCGUUCGAGGAUGCCGGUGGGCCACUGGCUGGAUGCUUGCUGCGGACAUCGUCGGUGAGGACUUUGGUUGGUUCCGGGGACGGGGAGUCGGUGGUUGCUCCACCGGAGGUCGACGUUUCGGCCCUAAUGGCUGCGGCUGAGGUGGGGCGUGGGGGAGGGGGUCGGGGCAGGUGGCUCCCACCUCCACCUUCACUAUCCCGACAUCGGCAUCGCUGGUCAUGA
rnacentral:rRNA from 1 species